UACGUAGGGUGCAAGCGUUGUCCGGAAUUAUUGGGCGUAAAGAGCUCGUAGGCGGUCUGUCGCGUCGGCUGUGAAAACUCGGGGCUCAACUCCGAGCUUGCAGUCGAUACGGGCAGGCUAGAGUUCGGCAGGGGGAGACUGGAAAUUCCUGGUGUAGCGGUGGAAAAUGCGCAGAUAUCAGGAGGAACACCGGUGGCGAAGGCGGGUCUCUGGGCCGAUACUGACGUGAGGAGCGAAAGCGUGGGGAGCGAACAGG
rnacentral:rRNA from 1 species